rnacentral:rRNA from 1 species
GAUCCUGGCUCAGGAUGAACGCUAGCUACAGGCUUAACACAUGCAAGUCGAGGGGCAGCAUGGUCUUAGCUUGCUAAGACUGAUGGCGACCGGCGCACGGGUGAGUAACACGUAUCCAACCUGCCGUCGUACUCUUGGACAGCCCUCUGAAAAGGAAGAUUAAAUACAAGAUGGCAUCAUGAGUCCGCAUGUUCAUAUGAUUAAAGGUAUUCCGGUAGACGAUGGGGG